CUAAAAACCCCGACUUCGGAAGGGGUGUAUUUAUUAGAUACAAACCAAUGCCCUUCGGGGCUCUUUGGUGAUUCAUGAUAACUAUACGAAUCGCACGGCCUUGCGCCGGCGAUGGUUCAUUCAAAUUUCUUCCUUAUCAACUUUCGAUGUUUGGGUAUUGGCCAAACAUGGUUGCAACGGGUAACGGAGGGUUAGGGCUCGACCCCGGAGAAGGAGCCUGAGAAACGGCUACUACAUCCAAGGAAGGCAGCAGGCGCGCAAAUUACCCAAUCCCGACUCGGGGAGGUAGUGACAAUAAAUACUGAUACAGGGCCCUUUCGGGCCUUGUAAUUGGAAUGAGUACAAUUUAAAUCCCUUAACGAGGAACAAUUGGAGGGCAAGUCUGGUGCCAGCAGCCGCGGUAAUUCCAGCUCCAAUAGCGUAUAUUAAAGUUGUUGUGGUUAAAAAGCUCGUAGUUGAACCUUGGGCCUGGCUGGCCGGUCCGCCUCACCGCGUGCACUGGUCCGGCCGGGCCUUUCCCUCUGUGGAACCCCAUACCCUUCACUGGGCGUGGCGGGGAAACAGGACAUUUACUUU
rnacentral:rRNA from 1 species